rnacentral:rRNA from 1 species
UACGGAGGAUCCGAGCGUUAUCCGGAUUUAUUGGGUUUAAAGGGAGCGUAGGUGGAUUGUUAAGUCAGUUGUGAAAUCCCGCGGCUUAACCGUGGAAGUGCAUAUAAAACUGGGGAGCUGGAGUGCAGGAGAGGUGAGUGGAAUUCCUAGUGUAGCGGUGGAAUGCGUAGAUAUUAGGAAGAACACCGGUGGCGAAGGCGGCUCACUGGACUGUAACUGACGCUGAGGCUCGAAAGCGUGGGGAGCAAACAGG